rnacentral:misc_RNA from 1 species
UUGGCGGUCGCACAUUAUCGCG